rnacentral:rRNA from 1 species
CUACGGGACGCUGCAGUGGGGAAUAUUGCACAAUGGGCGCAAGCCUGAUGCAGCAACGCCGCGUGAGGGAUGAAGGCCUUCGGGUUGUAAACCUCUUUUAGCAGGGAAGAAGCGAAAGUGACGGUACCUGCAGAAAAAGCACCGGCUAACUACGUGCCAGCAGCCGCGGUAAUACGUAGGGUGCAAGCGUUGUCCGGAAGUAUUGGGCGUAAAGAGCUCGUAGGCGGUUUGUCACGUCUGCUGUGAAAAUCCAAGGCUCAACCUUGGACUUGCAGUGGGUACGGGCAGGCUAGAGUGCGGUAGGGGAGAUGGGAAUUCCUGGUGUAGCGGUGGAAUGCGCAGAUAUCAGGAGGAACACCAAUGGCGAAGGCACAUCUCUGGGCCGUAACUGACGCUGAGGAGCGAAAGCGUGGGGAGCGAACAGGAUUAGAUACCCGAGUAGUC